UACUUGAGGUACAGUAAUAGGCUAUUUGAGAUAUUUCUGCUUUUUCAUGUAGGUUUUGAUUGCUGUAAACUUUCCUGUAUCCCACAGAUUCUGGUAUGUUGCAUUACCAUUUUCAUUUGUUUCAAAGAACCAUCUCUCUUGGUUUCUUCAUUGAUUCAUUGGUUGUUCAAGAGUAAAUUGUUCAAUAUCUAUGUAUUUGUGUAGUUUCCAGUUUUUCAUAUUAUUGAAUUCUGGUUUUAUUGCAUUGUAUGAAAAGAUGCUCAGUAUGAUUUCAGCUUUUUAAAACCUGUUGAGACUUUUUUUGGUGACCUGUCAUCUGGCCUAUGCUGGAGAAUGUUCCACAUGCUGAUGAGAACACGUAUUCUGUAGUUGUAUGGAAUGUUCUCUGUAUAUCUGGUGGAUUCAUUUAUCUGGUCAAGGAUAUGAUUUAACUCUGUUGUUUCUUUGUUGAAUUUAUGUUUGGAUGAUCUGUCCUCUUGUAUAGGAGUCUACCUCUUACUUUAGAUCUAUAAGAUUUGCUUUAUGUAUACUGAUGCUCCAAUAUUGGGUGCAAAUAUAUUUCGAAUUAUAUUUCCUCUUGCAGAAUUACCCCCUUUAUCAUUAUAUAAUGACCUUCCUUGUUUCAUUUUUUUAAAAAAAUAUUUUUUAGUUGUUUCACAUGGCCUUUAUUGUAUUUAUUUAUAUGUGGUGCUGAGAAUCGAACCCAGUGCCUCACACAUGCUAGGCAAGUGCUCUACCACUGAGCCACAGCCACAGCCCCC
rnacentral:lncRNA from 1 species